GUGCCAGCCGCCGCGGUAAUACGUAGGGUGCAAGCGUUGUCCGGAAUUAUUGGGCGUAAAGAGCUCGUAGGCGGUUUGUCGCGUCUGCUGUGAAAUCCCGAGGCUCAACCUCGGGCUUGCAGUGGGUACGGGCAGACUAGAGUGCGGUAGGGGAGAUUGGAAUUCCUGGUGUAGCGGUGGAAUGCGCAGAUAUCAGGAGGAACACCGAUGGCGAAGGCAGAUCUCUGGGCCGUAACUGACGCUGAGGAGCGAAAGCAUGGGGAGCGAACAGGAUUAGAUACCCUGGUAGUCCAUGCCGUAAACGUUGGGCGCUAGAUGUAGGGACCUUUCCACGGUUUCUGUGUCGUAGCUAACGCAUUAAGCGCCCCGCCUGGGGAGUACGGCCGCAAGGCUAAAACUCAAAGGAAUUGACGGGGGCCCGCACAAGCGGCGGAGCAUGCGGAUUAAUUCGAUGCAACGCGAAGAACCUUACCAAGGCUUGACAUACACCGGAAACGGCCAGAGAUGGUCGCCCCCUUGUGGUCGGUGUACAGGUGGUGCAUGGUUGUCGUCAGCUCGUGUCGUGAGAUGUUGGGUUAAGUCCCGCAACGAGCGCAACCCUCGUUCUAUGUUGCCAGCGGGUUAUGCCGGGGACUCAUAGGAGACUGCCGGGGUCAACUCGGAGGAAGGUGGGGAUGACGUCAAAUCAUCAUGCCCCUUAUGUCUUGGGCUUCACGCAUGCUACAAUGGCCGGUACAAAGGGCUGCGAUACCGUAAGGUGGAGCGAAUCCCAAAAAGCCGGUCUCAGUUCGGAUUGAGGUCUGCAACUCGACCUCAUGAAGUCGGAGUCGCUAGUAAUCGCAGAUCAGCAACGCUGCGGUGAAUACGUUCCCGGGCCUUGUACACACCGCCCGUCAAGUCAUGAAAGUCGGUAACACCCGAAGCCGGUGGCCUAACCCUUGUGGAAGGAGCCGUCGAAGGUGGGAUCGGUGAUUAGGACUAAGUCGUAACAAGGUAACCC
rnacentral:rRNA from 1 species